AGAGAGUGCAGACCAAUGUAGAGAGGAAAACACAGCUAAGCAAAAACACAGAGCCAAUGUUUUUCUUUUGAUGAUGGUGGUAACCCAAAGAUUUCAACAGAUGAGAAUAUAUAUCUUGCAAAUACAAGACUGAGGAAAAGGAUUGUCCUGGAAAAGUUGUUAAUGGAAGUUUUCUAAGAGCCAGAAUCAUUGUUCCAUAUGGGCAGCAGCAAAGAAAAAUCUCUCUUCACAAGCCUUUUAAGGAAAUUGAAUGCCAUAAGUAGAGGAGUUAAGACUGCAAGAUAUUCUUUGCAAGAUAUAAGUGAAUAGAACAUCUUUGGGCUUUUUGAGGUUUUUUUCCUCCUCUUUUGGAAGAAUCUAUAUAUUGGUAUAUUUCUGUAAUAAAAAUAAUUCAUUGAUAUUUUAAAGUUUUUAAUGACCUAUUUUACAUGUUGGGAUCUUUCUAGAACUAUGGCUACAUUCUAGAUGUAAAAAAAUGACAGACUCUCUGAAUAUAAUUUCUAAAUCAUGGGGCUAGAGGAGGGAAUAAAAAUAUUUGAAUAUAGUGUUAAUUUUAAAUUUUUGAUAAAUGUUACCAUUCCUUGAAGCAAAAUUUAUAUUAGCAGCUGUUUACAAGGCAUUCAGAUACUAUUAAUUCAAAAGAACAAAAACAAACAAAUGAAUACAAAAGUAAAACAAAAAACAUUUCUUUCUGAAGUUUUGUAUUUCACUUUCUGUCAAAUAGCAUUAGUGUUUUGAAGUCUUCUAUUUUUAUAGUCUUCUGUCCCUGAGUUGCACAACAGCUCUUCAAAAAUUAUUUCAAUUUAUUCAAAGAGUGCAUAUAUUUUUGUUAUAGUAUCUUGUUUCUGAGCAGCAUGCCAGCUCAAUAUUGUUACAUUAAAGUUUUUUUUUCCAAUUCCUCCCAAUUACAGUUUUUUCCAGUUCCUGGCAAAAUACAUUUUUACAAAAUAAUUCUUCAUUCUUUUAGACUACAAGUCCUUCUGUUCCUUUUUGGAGCUGUCUGAUUAAUUAUAGUCAUUAUAGUUAACUACAACAGAUGAUCAGAAUUGAAUUUUUUUUAAAUGUUAAGAAUUUACAGACAAGUCAGAUUUACUGUGGUCUUUUAAGAUCUGGGAUGGAGAAGGGGGAAAAAAACACAGAACAAAAUAAAAUGCAGCAAAAAAAUAGUAUUGAUCUUAAAUGUUUGUUUGCUUGAAAUAUAUUAGUGUUUUGGGGACCGUAAUAAUCAGCUUUAAAUUGUGCAUGUAUGCCCUGAUCCAAUGCCUAGAACAAGGAACAAAAGUCUCAGUUUGCAAUGGGAGAAGUCUAGGUUGGGUAUUAGGAAAAAACUC